GCCGAAAUAGCUCAACGGUAGAGCAACUGAAUCGUAAUCAGUAGGUUGCGGGUUCAAAUCCUGUUUUCGGCACCA
rnacentral:tRNA from 1 species